GACGAACGCUGGCGGCGUGCUUAACACAUGCAAGUCGAACGGACAGGCCCUGCUUUUGUGGGGUGCUCGAGUGGCGAACGGGUGAGUAACACGUGAGUAACCUGCCCUUGACUUUGGGAUAACUUCAGGAAACUGGGGCUAAUACCGGAUAGGAGCUCCUGCUGCAUGGUGGGGGUUGGAAAGUUUCGGCGGUAUGGGCUGGACUGGAUGCUUAUCAGCUUGUUGGUGGGGUAGUGGUUGACCAGGGCUUUGAGGGGUAGCCCGCAUUGGAGGGGGACCGGCCUCAAUGGGCCUGCGGGACGGCGCAGACGCCUACGGGAGGCAGCGGUGGGGAAUCUUGCACAAUGGGCGGAAGCCUGAUGCAGCAACGCCGCGUUCGUGAUGCCGUCCUUCGGGUUGUAAACCGCUGUCGCCUGUGACAAAGCCUGAGUGACGGUAAUGGGUAAAGAAGCACCGGCUAACUACGUG
rnacentral:rRNA from 1 species